AGAUAAAGCAAAAAUUUUUUUUUUUUUUGCAGAACAUGAGAAAUGGACAAAAUAACAAAAAGGUUGCAAUGUUUUCAGAUCUCAAAUAAUGCGAAGGAAACAAGUUCAUAUUCAUUUAGGAACCACAAUAUUAAUGUUUUAACUCAGGACGAGUUCAGAAAUCAAUGUUUGUUAGAACAACCAGGAG